rnacentral:lncRNA from 1 species
AUCAGCUGGGGUGACAGGGACAACUGGACUAUCAGCUGAAGUGACAGGUAUAAAUGGACUAUCAGCAGGAGUGACAGGGACCACUGGACCAUCAGCUGAAGAGACAGGGGCAACUGGACCAUCAGCUGAAGUGACAGGGACAACUGGAACAUCAGCUGAAGAGACAGGGGCAACUGGACCAUCAGCUGAAGUCACAGGGACAACUGGACCAUCAGCUGAAGUCACAGGGACAACUGGACCAUCAGGUGGAGUGACAGGGACAAAUGGACUAUCAGCUGAAGUGACAGCAACAACUGGCCCAUCAGCUGAAGUGACAGGGCUACCUGGAGUAUCAGCUGGGGUGACAGGGACAAUUGGAUCACCAGCUGCAGUGACAGGGACAAUUCGGCCAUCAGCUGUGGUGACAGGGAUAACUGGACUACCAGCUGAGGUGACAGGGACAACUGGACUAUCAGCUGGGGUGACAGGGAUAGCUGGACUCUCAGCUGGGGUGACAGGGACAACUGGACUAUCAGCUGGGGUGACAGGGAUAGCUGGACUCUCAGCUGGGGUGACAGACACAAUUGGAUCAUCAGCUGGGGUGACAGGUACAAAUGGACUAUCAGCUGAAGCAACAGGGACAACUGGACCAUCAGCUGGAGUGACAGGGACAACUGGACUAUCAGCUGGGGUGACAGGGACACCUGGACUAUCUGCUGGGGUGACAGAGACAAUUGGACUAUCAGCUGGGGUGACAGGGACUAUUGGAUCAUCAGCUGGAGUGACAGGGACAACUGGACCAUCAGCUGCUGUGACUGGGUCAGCUGGACUAUCAACUGGGGUGACAGGGACAACUGGACAGUCAGCUGAAGUGACAGGGGCAACUGGACAAUCUGUUGGAGUGACAGGGACAACUAGAUCAUCAGGUGGAGUGACAGGGAUAACUGGACUAUCAGCAGGAUUGAGAGGGACAACUGUUUCAUCUGCAAAAUUAGGGACAAAUAUACCAUUAACUGGAAAAACAGGAACAACUAGAACAUCAGUUGAAGAAUCAACGACAACUGGACCAUCAGCUGGAAUAACAGGUACAAAUGGACUAUCAGCUGAAACGACAGGGACAAAUGAACUAUCAGCUGGGGUGACAGGGACAAUUGGAUCAUCAGCUGGAGUGACAGGGACAACUGGACUGUCAGUUGAAGCAACAGUGAGAACUGGACUAUCAGCUGGAGUGACAGGGACAACUGUCCCA